rnacentral:rRNA from 1 species
AUACAGAGGGUGCAAGCGUUAAUCGGAAUUACUGGGCGUAAAGCGCGCGUAGGCGGUUUGUUAAGUCGGACGUGAAAUCCCCGGGCUCAACCUGGGAACUGCAUUCGAAACUGGCGAGCUAGAGUAUGGUAGAGGAUAGUGGAAUUCCGGGUGUAGCGGUGAAAUGCGUAGAUAUCCGGAGGAACAUCAGUGGCGAAGGCGGCUAUCUGGACCAAUACUGACGCUGAGGUGCGAAAGCGUGGGGAGCAAACAGGAUUAGAUACCCUAGUAGUCC